UUUUACAUUUGUAUUAGUCACUCAAUACCAAUUUCUCUUGCGCCAAUAACUCAGCCUUUUUUCAUUCCAUUACCAACUGACCCUUCGCUUUUUCUAGUUCCAAAAUUGAAUUACUGUGAGUCCCGAAUAAUUCUUGCCUGUGGGUCUCCACCAUGCAUUUUCUUUCUUUGUCCCAAGCUUCUUGUUGUUUUCUAAUUUUUUGCUCUA
rnacentral:lncRNA from 1 species